ensembl:lncRNA LEM domain containing 1
UUCCCGUUGAUUGACUGGGUAGUGUCCGACAACGGACUAAGAGUUGGGGGUGAGUGUCAUAUUCAGGGAUUAUUUAUGUACCCUCAGAAAGGAUAAAGCGAAGUUAAACUUGUAGUUUACCUUUUCACAGAGUAAAUUCAGUGGUAGAAAUAAAGGGAAAACAAAGUAUCUUUAAUGGUAUUUAAAUGUGGAACAACGCAGGCGCAUGCGUGAAGAGAAAGGGGGAAAAAAAAAACCGGACCAGCCGAUCAGUCUCUUGGAUGUUUGCUUCCACCUUGAGCCGCAAGACCUCGUGGCGCAACGGUAGCGCGUCUGACUCCAGAUCAGAAGGCUGCGUGUUCGAAUCACGUCGGGGUCAUGGUAUCCCUUUCCAAAAAAGGGAUUUGUUUUACCCUAAAUACAGGCGGUAUCACUUUUCCCGGUGCUCGUAGGUUCUCUCGGGUCGUUUGUGGAUUGCAACAAGGGGAAGAACGCUAACACGUGGGAAGGACUGAAGUCAAGAAAUACGUAAUAAAGGUGUUGUUGGGGUCACCGGGAGGCGGCUCAUUGUCCCGAUAAAGCACGAUGAAUGUAAUUGAAAUAAUGGAAAAUAGAAGAUCAAACGGGAAAUCCUGGAAGGAAAAAUAAACAAAUAAGGCCCACUAUUUGGAGACAUGGAGAAUGUUACUGUAGAUGUGCUUAUAAAAAACAAGGAACGAGACACAGAAGGAGGACAAAGUGUGAAAGAAGAAGUUGAUAUUAAAAGUCUGACUGACACUGAACUAUGGAAGCAGCUUUGCUCAUAUGGAGUUAACCCUGGGCCAAUAUUACCUUCCACAAGAACUGUUUAUGAAAACAAGCUUCAGCAAUUGAUGACGCAAUGCCCAGGAGCAGCAGCUGGAGAGAAGAGCCGAAAGGUGGAUUGUGAAAGGGAAAAUGUUGGAGCAAAUGUACCACCUGCAGAAGUCGUUCUUCAGAACAGCAACUUCAGAGUAUCAGCAGAACGUGCCUGUAGUUCUGAUAAUAAAGAACCUUUAGAUGAAAUAACAGAACGCCAGAAGAAACUCUUGUCUCCUGAUUCUGAGCACAGUUUAGCCAAAAUAGUAGCAGAACUCCAAGAGAUAUUACCAGAAGGUAAAAUGGCAUCACAUCGGUCACAAGGAUUAAGGAAGAAAGUUGGCAAUAGCCCUGAGAUGAGCAAACAAAAGAAAAGUGAUAAACUGCACAUUGAUUAUGGUCAUCCCGAUGCAAACACCGUAGGAACUAGUUCUCGAAGAAGAACAUUAAGAGAGACUCCUCCUCCUUCACUUAAGAAAUGUCCUGAAAACAAACCACAGAAAACAUGUGAAAAACCAGCUGAAGUACUUAUGCCAAUGCAGAUAAAGAUUGCUGUGUUUUGUGUCUGUGUUUUCCUUCUCUUUGCGUAUGUAGCUAUGGAAACCAGUCCAUUCACAACCUUCUUUAGCAGAAAAUGAGUGCGACCCUUCUUGAGAGUUGGGUGGAAGACCAAGGAAGGCAAUUUGGUUAGUUGUUUAGGAACAAGUGAUUUCAGUAGCUCAUUAAACAGCAAUUGGGAUAAUCCAGUUUGUGUGUGUGUGUGUGUAUUUUAAAGCAUUUUUA